AGUUUCCAGUGGCCAGGGGUACGCGCGGCCGGAGGGGCGCCGGGGCCGUACUCACCGCGGCCGUUCUGGUUGGGCCGGUACACGCUGCCCACGCUGAGGCGGCCCUGCUGCGCGCCGUUCCGCUCCCCACCCGGCGGGGGCGUGUCGGAGCUGCGCACCGGCAGGAGCUCCUGCCUGCCUGGAUGAAGAGGAGGUCAAGACUUUGUCCCCCACUCCGCAAGAUACCCUCUCUGUUCCGGAGCGGUGAGACAGGAUUUCACCAUGUUAGCCAGGAUGGUCUUGAUCUCCUGACCUCAUGAUCUGCCCACCUCGGCCUCCCAAAGUGCUGGGCUUACAGGCGUGAGCCACCGUGCCCGGCCAAAAAUAACUUUUAAAAACAUGAGUAUAGCAUACACACACACAAAAGUCCACAAAUCCUAGGUGUACCACUUGAUGAAUGAUCCCAACGUGAGCACACCUCUGGAUUACCACCUGGAUCAAGAAAUAGGACAUCACAGCAGCUGGCAGCUUCCAAGGAGAAGCUCUGGAAAGUUCUGCCUGUCUCAGCACCUGGCUGGAUCGGAAACGAGUUUUCUUUAACCAGAUUUUUAAUGACUGACUUAUGUGGACAAAUCAUAACUGAAUGAAUCACCUCCUUUGUUGAUUUUUUUGGGUACUUUAUUUGCUAUUAUAAAUGAUGCUGUAAUAAGCACCCUUGAAGAAAUCUUCAUAUCUGCCUCUCCUGUGUAGCAGGUCACAGUGCCUGGGUUUGGUUCUAGCCCUCAUUUGUGAACUGUGUGACUCACCAUGCCUUUUUUCUUUCUGUAAGACAGGAAUAAUGGUAAGAAUUUAAAUGGGGGUAAUAUGGAGCGCGUUUAGUUCAGAGCCUGGUGCAUACAAGCACUCAAUAAGUACUGGCGAUUAUUAGACCUUUAGAUUAAUUUAUUAGAAGUUGGAUUUCUGGUGAAAGGGUUUGAGUGUUUUUGAGGCUUUGGCACAGAAUACCCAGCUGGUCCCAGAAAGGUGGUUCCCAUUUACCUGCCCGAAGGUAAUUCACCCUUACUGAUACUGAGUACUGUUUUCUAAAAGAACAUUAAAAAUUGGAUAGGUUAAAAACAGGUGAAUACAUUUUUUUAGUUGCAUUUUUUUGGUUACCCGUGAGAGUGAACAUGUUGCCAUGUGUUUGCUGACCUCCUAAAUGGUCUAUUUGCUCCUACCUUUGUACCCCAAAAGUCUGCUCUCAAGAUGGUAGCCAGAAUGAUCCUUUUUGAGACAUAAGUCAAAAUUUCACUCUUCUCCUUAAAGCUCUGCAAUGGUUCUCAGGUUAAAAGCCAAAGUCCUGUUCAAGGCCUCCAGGGUCCUCACCACUUGGUCCCUUGCUCUUUCUGUUCUAGCCAACUUGGCCUUCUCCUGCCCCUCCGCCGCACCAUGGCAAUUUCCCCUGCUCUGUGUGGUCAACUACCUGAAUCUGUUCAAAGCUUUGCUCAAAUGUCUCCUUCCUGAUGAGACCUCCCCAGCCCCUGAGCUCCCCAUGCCUCACUCCUGAUCGCCUUACUUAACCCUUCUUUUUCUUUUUUGCCAGUAGUACUUAUCACCGUCUAAAAUACUUCAUAAUUUACUUGUUUAUUGUUUGCCCCUCUCCAAUAGAAUGUAAGCUCCUUGGGGCAGGGACCUUUGUCCUUUGUCUUGUUCACUGCUGUGUCCCAUGUGUAAACUUGUCUGGCACAGAAGAGGUGCUCGAUAAAUAUUUGUUGAGUGAAUGAAUGGUAAAUUUUCUGUUCAUAUUCUUUGACUAUUUUCUAUUGUAAUGUUCAUCUUUUUAGUAUUGGUUUAUAAGAUGUAUAUUUAGCACCUUUUCAUAUAUCACUCUUUGUCACAUAUUAUGCAACUAAUUUGUCAUUUCCAUCAAUUUUUAAAAUACUUUCUUGAUGCUUCAUUUUUAAGCUGUCAGAUUAUUAAUCUUUUCUUUAUGGUCUUGGACUUUAUUGUUGCAUAACCGCUGCCUUCACCAGGAACAUAUAAAUUUUCAAUUAAAUGUUCUUCUGAGAUUUUAUGAUUUCACUUUUUAUAUUAAACUCUUCAUUUUGUCUUCAUGUGUGGUGAGAGGUAAGAACAUAACUUUAAAGCAAAUUAACCAACUAUCCCCAAAUGAAUUAUAAAUAAAUUAAUCAUUUUCCAAUGAUCUGAAAGGCCAUUUUAUCAUACACUAAAUAUUUUUGUGUGUUUGACUGGGUUUACCGUUCUGUUCCGUUGGCCUAUCACAUCGUUCUUACAUUGGUAUUUGUUGCCCUAUUUUAAUGAUUGUAACUUUUUAAUAAGGGUUAAUGACUGAGAAUACAAGUCCCAUUGUUUUGUUUUAUUAUUUUUAUUAUUUUUUUGAGACAGGGUUUCACUCUGUCACCCAGGCUGGAGUAUAGUAGCACUAUCUCGGCUCAUUGCAACCUCUGCCUCCCUGGUUCAAGUGAUUCUCCCACCUCAACCUCCCGAGUAGCUGGGACUACAGAUGCAUGCCACCACACCCAGCUAAUUCUUGUAUUUUUAGUAGAGACAGGGUUUCACCAUGUUGACCAGGCUGGUCUUGAACUCCUGGCUUCAAGUGAUUCACCUGCCUCGACCUCCCAAAGUGCUGGGAUUACAGGCGUGACUCACCACGCCUGGCCCAUUUUUUUCUUUUGAGGUGUUCUUUGUGGCAAUUCAUAUAUUCUUUAAGAUAAAUUCUAAACUUUUUUUUUCUGCCGAGAUAAACUAGCAGACAAAUCCCACUGGACAUUGCAAUUGGAUUAGUUUUGUAGAUUAAUUUAGUGAUAAUCAACUUCUUUGCACCAUUGAGUGCUUCUGUCCGGGAACGUGGCAUAUCUUUCUAUUAUUAAGGUCUUUUUUAUUAUAGGUCUUUAGGGAAGCUUUAUUUUAUAGAUGAAUGUAGUGUGUUUGGUGCUUAUUUUCAUAAAAUAAAGCAAUGACAUCUGUGGCAGGCAGCUUCUGAAAUGGCUCCCAAUGAUCCUUACCUUCUGAUAGUCACCCCCUUGGAGAAUCCCUUUCCUUUGUGUGUGGGCUGGAUCUAGUGACUUGCUUCUCAUAAAUAGAAUAUGGCAAAAAAUGAUGGGUUGUUACUUCUGAGAUUAGGUUAUAAGAGGCGAAUUUCUGUUUUGCUGUAAUUUUGUCUCUCUAACCCUCUUGCUUUCCUGUGCUCAUGAAACCAGCUGCUGUGUUGUGAGCCACCUUAUGGAAAACCCAUGUGGCAGAGAACCGAGGGUGGUGGCUGGCCAACAGCAAGCCAGGAGCUGAGGCCCACAGUCCAACAACUGGUGAGGAACCACAUGCUGCCAGCAGCCAUGUGAGGGAACUUAGAAGCAAAUCCUUCCCCAGUUGAGCCUUCAGAUGACACCAGAGCCUUGGCUGACCCCUUACUUUUACCCUUGUAAGAGACUUUGAGCCAGAAGACUUGGCUAAACCACACCUGGAUUCCUGACCCACAGAAACUUGAAAUAAUAAAUGUGUUGUUUUAAGU
rnacentral:lncRNA from 1 species